ACGGGAGGCAGCAGUGAGGAAUAUUGGUCAAUGGGCGGAAGCCUGAACCAGCCAAGUCGCGUGAAGGAUGAAGGUAUUAUGUAUUGUAAACUUCUUUAGCAGUGGAGUAAUAAGGGGGGUCGUGACUCCUGAUGCAAGUACACUGAGAAUAAGGAUCGGCUAACUCCGUGCCAGCAGCCGCGGUAAUACGGAGGAUCCGAGCGUUAUCCGGAUUUAUUGGGUUUAAAGGGUGUGCAGGCGGCUUUUUAAGUCAGUGGUUAAAUAGUGGUGCUCAACGCCAUCCCGCCAUUGAUACUGGGAGACUUGAUUGCGGUUGAGGUAGGCGGAAUUCGUCGUGUAGCGGUGAAAUGCAUAGAUAUGACGAAGAACACCGAUUGCGUAGGCAGCUUACCAAGCCGUAAAUGACGCUCAUGCACGAAAGUGCGGGGAUCGAACAGGAUUAGAUACCCUGGUA
rnacentral:rRNA from 1 species